rnacentral:rRNA from 1 species
CACGCAGGCGGUCUGUCAAGUCGGAUGUGAAAUCCCCGGGCUCAACCUGGGAACUGCAUUCGAAACUGGCAGGCUAGAGUCUUGUAGAGGGGGGUAGAAUUCCAGGUGUAGCGGUGAAAUGCGUAGAGAUCUGGAGGAAUACCGGUGGCGAAGGCGGCCCCCUGGACAAAGACUGACGCUCAGGUGCGAAAGCGUGGGGAAGCAAACA